rnacentral:rRNA from 1 species
CCCUUAGAUGUCCUGGGCUGCACGCGCGCUACACUGAUGUGUCCAGUAAGCACCUAACCUCUUCCGAAAGGAACGGGUAACCUUUGCAAAGCACAUCGUGAUGGGGAUAGAUUGUUGCAAUUAUUAGUCUUGAACGAGGAAUUCCUAGUAAGCACAAGUCAUCAGCUUGUGUUGAUUACGUCCCUGCCCUUUGUACACACCGCCCGUCGCUCCUACCGAUUGAAUGUUCCGGUGAGCUCUUCGGACUGCGCGGUCUGCAGUUUCUGCGUUCCGUGCGGAAAGUUGCGCAAACCUUAACAUUUAGAGGAAGGAGAAGUCGUAACA